UCCCUGGUGGUCCAGUGGUUAAGACUCCAGGCUCCCAAUGCCGGGGGGCCCGGGUUCGAUCCCUGGUCAGGGAA